GGCUUAUACAUGCAGUCGUGGGGCAGCAGGUUCCGAGCAAUCGGAAUGCUGGCGACCGGCAAACGGGUGCGUAACACGUACGCAAUCUACCCAUUACAGGGGAAUAGCCCAGGGAAACUUGGAUUAAUACCCCAUAUUAUAUAGGAUUGGCAUCAGUCUUAUAUCAAAGCUUCGGCGGUAAUGGAUGAGCGUGCGGUUGAUUAGAUAGUUGGCGGGGUAACGGCCCACCAAGUCUACGAUCAAUAGCUGAUGUGAGAGCAUGAUCAGCCACACGGGCACUGAGACACGGGCCCGACUCCUACGGGAGGCAGCAGUAAGGAAUAUUGGGCAAUGGACGAAAGUCUGACCCAGCCAUGCCGCGUGAAGGAUGAAGGUCCUCUGGAUUGUAAACUUCUUUUAUCUGGGGCGAAAAUCACCCUUUCUAGGGUGCUUGACAGUACCAGAGGNAAUAAGCAACCGGCUAACUCCGUGCCAGCAGCCGCNGGUAAUACGGGAGGGUGCAAGCGUUAUCCGGGAUUUACUGGGUUUUAAAGGGUGCGUAGGCGGGCAGGUAAGUCAGUGGUGAAAUCCCCCGAGCUUAACUCCGGGAACUGCCGUUGAUAC
rnacentral:rRNA from 1 species